rnacentral:rRNA from 1 species
UACGGAGGAUGCAAGCGUUAUCCGGAAUGAUUGGGCGUAAAGCGUCCGCAGGUGGCUGUGUAAGUCUGCUGUUAAAGAGUGAGGCUCAACCUCAUAAAAGCAGUGGAAACUACACGGCUAGAGUGCGUUCGGGGCAGAGGGAAUUCCUGGUGUAGCGGUGAAAUGCGUAGAUAUCAGGAAGAACACCGGUGGCGAAAGCGUUCUGCUAGACCUGUACUGACACUGAGGGACGAAAGCUAGGGGAGCGAAUGGG